AUAAUCAUUUCAACUGUUUCCUACAAUCCACCUAGUUCCAUUCUGAAGUGGACUCUUUUGAUGAUCCGAAAAAUUCUUAAUAGAUAAAAUUAAGUCCCUGCAUUUUUUUUCUCAUUGAAUAUCCUGUUUCGCUGAUAAAUACAUCAUCAGAUUUCUGAAGUAAACUGUGUUGCGAUCAGAAUUUAUUAAAAAAUAAAAUAAAAUAAUAAUACACGACCUAUUAAGCAAUAUUGAAUAUGGUAGAUUUAAUAUAAUUUUCAUGUGUUAAAAUUCAUAAACAAAUGAUUUUAUAAAUCACAAGCAACUGCCUCUUUUCAUAAAACCAUUAAUUUUGAUGUGGAUAGUAUAAUAUAGUGUGAUGUGUACAGACCUUUGGUUUUUAUGAUUUAAAAUUGUCAGUGUAAUUUAUAAUACCACCAUAUUUCUGUUCAAAAGAUCUAUUCAAUCUGUUGACCUGGUAAAAUAAGAUCUGAAAUUGAUUGAUUCUUAGUUCAGAUGUAUUAAAUCAUCAAGUAUGCAUAAACUUUUAUUAAUAAAUACAUCUGUCAACUGUAAACAACUGUUGGUUGUGGCAUUAGUGGAGGGAGAGAAAGUCGUUGUUUUUGCCAUUACUGUUGUUGUUGCUGUAGUCAUGCUGUUUGUUGUAGAAGUGGUAGACAUGAAGGUGUUGUUCCUGGUGGUAACAGUAGAUGUUAUUGAUCUUGAGCAUAUGCCAACAUUUCCAGCUCUGUCUACAGCAACCAGUUCCAUUACUCCGGAACAACAAGAGGCGCUGUAGAAUGCAAGAGUGACGUUCACACCUCCAUCCCCGAUUACGGUGGUAGUGUUGAAGGUUCCUAUUUUAAUAUAUUUUAAAAUAUAAUUCAUUCCUGUGAUGCAAGUAUGCAUUACUUCAGUCUUCAGUAAUCAUUCUAAUAUUCUGACCUGCUACUCAAGAUACAUUUCUUAUUGUUAAGUGUUGAAAAAGUUGUGCUGCUUAAUAUUUUUGUGGAAAUCUUGAUACAUUUGUUUUCAGGAUUCUUUAAAGGUACAGAAAAAUAAAUCUUUGUAAGCUUAUAAA